UGGGGAAUUUUGGACAAUGGGGGCAACCCUGAUCCAGCCAUCCCGCGUGUGCGAUGAAGGCCUUCGGGUUGUAAAGCACUUUUGGCAGGGAAGAAACGGCGCUGGUUAAUAACUGGCGUCACUGACGGUACCUGCAGAAUAAGCACCGGCUAACUACGUGCCAGCAGCCGCGGUAAUACGUAGGGUGCAAGCGUUAAUCGGAAUUACUGGGCGUAAAGCGUGCGCAGGCGGUUUGGCAAGAAAGAUGUGAAAUCCCAGAGCUUAACUUUGGAACUGCAUUUUUAACUGCCAGGCUAGAGUGUGUCAGAGGGGGGUAGAAUUCCACGUGUAGCAGUGAAAUGCGUAGAGAUGUGGAGGAAUACCGAUGGCGAAGGCAGCCCCCUGGGAUAACACUGACGCUCAGGCACGAAAGCGUGGGGAGCAAACA
rnacentral:rRNA from 1 species